rnacentral:rRNA from 1 species
GGUUAAAAAGCUCGUAGUUGGAUCUCGGCGGGCAGGGGGUGGUUCGCUCUUCAGCGCUACUGCCCCGCUUUGCCCGUGUGAUUGGCGAAGGUUUCGGGGUGCUCUUCGUUGAGUGACUCGGAGCGCCGUCAGGUUUACUUUGAAAAAAUUAGAGUGCUCAAAGCAGGCUUUUCACGCUUGAAUAUUCGUGCAUGGAAUAAUGGAAUAGGAACUCGUUUCUAUUUUGUUGGUUUUCGGAAAUCGAGUUAAUGAUUAACAGGGACAAUUGGGGGCAUUAGUAUUCAGACGACAGAGGUGAAAUUCUUGGACCGUCUGAAGACUGACUACUGCGAAAGCAUUUGCCAAGAGUGUUUUCAUUAAUCAAGAACGAAAGUUAGAGGUUCGAAGGCGAUCAGAUACCGCCCUAGUUCUAACCAUAAACGAUGCCAGCUAGCGAUCUGCCGAGUUUUUUUUGUAGGCUCCGCAGGAAGCUUUCGGGAAACCAAAGCUUUUGGGUCCCGGGGGAAGUAUGGUUGCAAAGCUGAAACUUAAAGGAAUUGACGGAAGGGCACCACCAGGAGUGGAGCCUGCGGCUUAAUUUGACUCAACACGGGAAAUCUCCCAAGGCCCCGACACUGGAAGGAUCGACAGAUUGAGAGCUCUUCUCGAUUCGGUGGGUGGUGUGCAUGCCG